rnacentral:rRNA from 1 species
AAUACCAAGGCGCUUGAGAGAACGAUGUUGAAGGAACUCGGCAAAAUACCUCCGUAAGUUCGCGAGAAGGAGGCCCAGUUUCUACGCAAGUAUUGACUGGGGGCACAAACCAGGGGGUGGCGACUGUUUACUAAAAACACAGGGCUCUGCGAAGUCGCAAGACGACGUAUAGGGUCUGACGCCUGCCCGGUGCCUGAAGGUUAAAAGGAGGAGUGCAAGCUCCGAAUUGAAGCCCAGGUAAACGGCGGCCGUAACAAUAA